UUUUCCAUCUUCAUUGUAUCUCAUUCGUUGAUUAUCCAAUUCCAAAGACUCUUCUAUUCUCCCCCACUCAUUCUCCACCUCCAUUUUCAGCAAUCAAUCCAUUUUCAGCAAUCAAUUCAUCCAUCAAUAUCUUUUAUUCUCAACAUCGUUGCCAUCAAUUAACACAAUACACACAAAUCAAAGAGAAAAAAAAAUGGGAACAAGAAAUUGAUUGGGAGAAAAAUGGUUGAAUGGUAGUGCUAGGGUCUACAAGAGCCACGACGUCAACGACAUCGCCGGUUAUUGAGGCGUGGUGGCAAGAGGAAGCUUGCCCUGACGGUGUUUGUACAUAGAAGAAAUGGAUGGAGAAGAAAACCUGCAGAUGAACGAUUUCUGGACAGUGGAACGCAGAUUGGGCCAAGCCUAAACCUAAAGGGGGUGCACCACCAUUGAUGUUGAAGCGGUCCAUGUCGUUUUCAGGCAUUAAGAACAAGUGCGAUGAGGUGAACGAAGAUGAUGAGUUAUCCGACGACGAGAACUUUCAGUGUGGGGAGAAGAAAGUUUGUAGGGCGAGAGAAGGGAUGUCUGCUAGGAGAUGGGUGUAGAGAGAGAAAACGAAAUAAAAGGAAUGAUUUUUAACUCAAAUACGUUUCAUAUUUCUUUUUAUGAAACGUUGUUUAUGGAUGGUCUUCCUUAUCUCCAGUAAGGAAUAAUUAGUUUGACUUCUCUGCAUAUUAUGAUACCUGGUGUUUAGCUCUCUUUUUUUAUCACAUUUUCUAGUGCAAUAUGACUUAUGGUUGUAGAA